UAAAAAGUUAGUUAAUAAAUAACAUAAAUUUGUCAAGUUUAAAUUACUAUAAUACAUAGUACUUUUUAU
rnacentral:tRNA from 1 species